rnacentral:rRNA from 1 species
GAUGAACGCUGGCGGCGUGCCUAAUACAUGCAAGUCGAGCGAACGGACGCGAAGCUUGCUUCUCUGAUGUUAGCGGCGGACGGGUGAGUAACACGUGGAUAACCUACCUAUAAGACUGGGAUAACUUCGGGAAACCGGAGCUAAUACCGGAUAAUAUUUUGAACCGCAUGGUUCAAAAGUGAAAGACGGUCUUGCUGUCACUUAUAGCUGGAUCCGCGCUGCAUUAGCUAGUUGGUAAGGUAACGGCUUACCAAGGCAACGAUGCAUAGCCGACCUGAGAGGGUGAUAGGCCACACGGGAGCGGAGACACGGACCAGAGGCCUACGGGAGGCAGCAGUAGGGAAUGUUCCGCAAUGGGCGAAAGCCUGACGGAGCAACGCCGCGUGAGUGAUGAAGGUCUUCGGAUCGUAAAACUCUGUUAUUAGGGAAGAACAUAUGUGUAAGUAACUGUGCACAUCUUGACGGUACCUAAUCAGAAAGCCACGGCUAACUACGUG